CCCCUCUCAGGGUUGCAUCUUGAGAGUUUCCAGUACUCUUUCAGUCUCAACUACUGGAGGGAGAGUCAAACAGAGGCAUACCCAUUCCAUCCCUAGCUUGGGCAAUAGCUAGUGAGUGGAAGGCCAUCUGCUACAAGU